rnacentral:rRNA from 1 species
UAUGGUGGAACGCGGCGCACAGCUCAGUAACACGUGACUAACCUACCCUUGAGACGCGGACAACCCCGGGAAACUGGGCCUAAUCCGCGAUAGGCGAAGAGGCCUGGAAUGGUCCUUCGCCCAAAGGGCCUUGGAACCAUGCUUCCAAGGUCGCUCAAGGAUGGGGUCGCGUCUGAUCAGGUAGUUGGUGAGGUAACGGCUCACCAAGCCUAUAACCAGUACGGGCCGUGAGAGCGGUCGCCCGGAGAUGGACACUGAGACAAGGGUCCACGCCCUACGGGGUGCAGCAAGCGCGAAACCUCCGCUAUGCGCGAAAGCGCGACGGGGCCAUCCCGAGUGCCAUCCGCUGAGGAUGGCUUUUCCCCAGUCUAAAAAGCUGGGGGAAUAAGGGGAGGGCAAGUCUGGUGUCAGCCGCCGCGGUAAUACCAGCUCCCCGAGUGGUCGAGGCGGUUAUUGAGCCUAAAGCAUCCGUAGCCGGCCGGGCAAGUUCCUCCUUAAAUCCAACGAUCCAAUCGUUGGGCCGGGGGGAAUACUGCUCGGCUAGGGGGCGGGAGAGGCCAGAGGUACUCCUAGGGUAGGGGUAAAAUCCUAUAAUCCUAGGAAGACCACCGGUGGCGAAGGCGUCUGGCUGGAACGCGCCCGACGGUGAGGGAUGAAAGCUGGGGGAGCGAACCGGAUUAGAUACCCGGGUAGUCCCAGCCGUAAACGAUGCGGGCUAGGUGUUGGAUCGGCUACGGGCCGAUCCAGUGCCGAAUGGAAGCAAGUAAGCCCGCCGCUUGGGGAGUACGGCCGCAAGGCUGAAACUUAAAGGAAUUGGCGGGGGAGCACCACAAGGGGUGUUAGCUGCGGUUCAAUUGGAUUCAACGCCGGA